UUAAGCGACUAAGCGUACACGGUGGAUGCCCUGGCAGUCAGAGGCGAUGAAGGACGUGCUAAUCUGCGAAAAGCGUCGGUAAGGUGAUAUGAACCGUUAUAACCGGCGAUGUCCGAAUGGGGAAACCCAGUGCAAUUCGUUGCACUAUCGUUAACUGAAUACAUAGGUUAACGAGGCGAACCGGGGGAACUGAAACAUCUAAGUACCCCGAGGAAAAGAAAUCAACCGAGAUUCCCCCAGUAGCGGCGAGCGAACGGGGAGCAGCCCAGAGUCUGAAUCAGCUUGUGUGUUAGUGGAACGGUCUGGAAAGUCCGACGGUACAGGGUGAUAGUCCCGUACACCAAAAUGCACAGGCUGUGAACUCGAAGAGUAGGGCGGGACACGUGGUAUCCUGUCUGAAUAUGGGGGGACCAUCCUCCAAGGCUAAAUACUCCUGACUGACCGAUAGUGAACCAGUACCGUGAGGGAAAGGCGAAAAGAACCCCGGCGAGGGGAGUGAAAAAGAACCUGAAACCGUGUACGUACAAGCAGUGGGAGCACCUUCGGGUGUGACUGCGUACCUUUUGUAUAAUGGGUCAGCGACUUAUAUUCUGUAGCAAGGUUAACCGUAUAGGGGAGCCGCAGGGAAACCGAGUCUUAACUGGGCGUUAAGUUGCAGGGUAUAGACCCGAAACCCGGUGAUCUAGCCAUGGGCAGGUUGAAGGUUGGGUAACACUAACUGGAGGACCGAACCGACUAAUGUUGAAAAAUUAGCGGAUGACUUGUGGCUGGGGGUGAAAGGCCAAUCAAACCGGGAGAUAGCUGGUUCUCCCCGAAAGCUAUUUAGGUAGCGCCUCGUGAACUCAUCUUCGGGGGUAGAGCACUGUUUCGGCUAGGGGGUCAUCCCGACUUACCAACCCGAUGCAAACUACGAAUACCGAAGAAUGUUAUCACGGGAGACACACGGCGGGUGCUAACGUCCGUCGUGAAGAGGGAAACAACCCAGACCGCCAGCUAAGGUCCCAAAGUCAUGGUUAAGUGGGAAACGAUGUGGGAAGGCACAGACAGCCAGGAUGUUGGCUUAGAAGCAGCCAUCAUUUAAAGAAAGCGUAAUAGCUCACUGGUCGAGUCGGCCUGCGCGGAAGAUGUAACGGGGCUAAACCAUGCACCGAAGCUGCGGCAGCGACACUAUGUGUUGUUGGGUAGGGGAGCGUUCUGUAAGCCUGCGAAGGUGACCUGUGAGGGUUGCUGGAGGUAUCAGAAGUGCGAAUGCUGACAUAAGUAACGAUAAAGCGGGUGAAAAGCCCGCUCGCCGGAAGACCAAGGGUUCCUGUCCAACGUUAAUCGGGGCAGGGUGAGUCGACCCCUAAGGCGAGGCCGAAAGGCGUAGUCGAUGGGAAACAGGUUAAUAUUCCUGUACUUGGUGUUACUGCGAAGGGGGGACGGAGAAGGCUAUGUUAGCCGGGCGACGGUUGUCCCGGUUUAAGCAUGUAGGCUGAUUAUCCAGGCAAAUCCGGAUAAUCAAGGCUGAGGUGUGAUGACGAGGCACUACGGUGCUGAAGUAACAAAUGCCCUGCUUCCAGGAAAAGCCUCUAAGCAUCAGGUAACAUCAAAUCGUACCCCAAACCGACACAGGUGGUCAGGUAGAGAAUACCAAGGCGCUUGAGAGAACUCGGGUGAAGGAACUAGGCAAAAUGGUGCCGUAACUUCGGGAGAAGGCACGCUGGUGUGUAGGUGAAGCCCCUGCGGGUGGAGCUGAGACCAGUCGAAGAUACCAGCUGGCUGCAACUGUUUAUUAAAAACACAGCACUGUGCAAACACGAAAGUGGACGUAUACGGUGUGACGCCUGCCCGGUGCCGGAAGGUUAAUUGAUGGGGUUAUCCGUAAGGAGAAGCUCUUGAUCGAAGCCCCGGUAAACGGCGGCCGUAACUAUAACGGUCCUAAGGUAGCGAAAUUCCUUGUCGGGUAAGUUCCGACCUGCACGAAUGGCGUAAUGAUGGCCAGGCUGUCUCCACCCGAGACUCAGUGAAAUUGAACUCGCUGUGAAGAUGCAGUGUACCCGCGGCAAGACGGAAAGACCCCGUGAACCUUUACUAUAGCUUGACACUGAACAUUGAGCCUUGAUGUGUAGGAUAGGUGGGAGGCUUUGAAGCGUGGACGCCAGUCUGCGUGGAGCCAACCUUGAAAUACCACCCUUUAAUGUUUGAUGUUCUAACGUUGGCCCCUUACCGGGGUUGCGGACAGUGUCUGGUGGGUAGUUUGACUGGGGCGGUCUCCUCCCAAAGCGUAACGGAGGAGCACGAAGGUUAGCUAAUCCUGGUCGGACAUCAGGAGGUUAGUGCAAUGGCAUAAGCUAGCUUGACUGCGAGCGUGACGGCGCGAGCAGGUGCGAAAGCAGGUCAUAGUGAUCCGGUGGUUCUGAAUGGAAGGGCCAUCGCUCAACGGAUAAAAGGUACUCCGGGGAUAACAGGCUGAUACCGCCCAAGAGUUCAUAUCGACGGCGGUGUUUGGCACCUCGAUGUCGGCUCAUCACAUCCUGGGGCUGAAGUAGGUCCCAAGGGUAUGGCUGUUCGCCAUUUAAAGUGGUACGCGAGCUGGGUUUAGAACGUCGUGAGACAGUUCGGUCCCUAUCUGCCGUGGGCGCUGGAGAAUUGAGGGGGGCUGCUCCUAGUACGAGAGGACCGGAGUGGACGCAUCACUGGUGUUCGGGUUGUCAUGCCAAUGGCACUGCCCGGUAGCUAAAUGCGGAAGAGAUAAGUGCUGAAAGCAUCUAAGCACGAAACUUGCCCCGAGAUGAGUUCUCCCUGAGACUUUAAGUCUCCUGAAGGAACGUUGAAGACGACGACGUUGAUAGGCCGGGUGUGUAAGCGCAGCGAUGCGUUGAGCUAACCGGUACUAAUGAACCGUGAGGCUUAACCU
rnacentral:rRNA from 1 species